rnacentral:rRNA from 1 species
AUACGGAGGGUCCGAGCGUUAAUCGGAAUUACUGGGCGUAAGGCGCGCGUAGGUGGAUGUAUAAGUCAGAUGUGAAAGCCCUGGGCUCAACCUAGGAACUGCAUUUGAAACUGUACGUCUAGAGUAUGGUAGAGGUGAGUGGAAUUUCAGGUGUAGCGGUGAAAUGCGUAGAGAUCUGAAGGAACAUCAGUGGCGAAGGCGACUCACUGGGCCAUUACUGACACUGAGGUGCGAAAGCGUGGGUAGCAAACAGGAUUAGAAACCCUAGUAGUCC